rnacentral:rRNA from 1 species
AGUGAACGCUGGCGGUAGGCCUAACACAUGCAAGUCGAACGGCAGCACAGUAAGAUCUUGCUCUUACGGGUGGCGAGUGGCGGACGGGUGAGGAAUACAUCGGAAUCUACUUUUUCGUGGGGGAUAACGUAGGGAAACUUACGCUAAUACCGCAUACGACCUACGGGUGAAAGCAGUGGAUCUUCGGACCUUUCGCGAUUGAAUGAGCCGAUGUCGGAUUAGCUAGUUGGCGGGGUAAAGGCCCACCAAGGCGACGAUCCGUAGCUGGUCUGAGAGGAUGAUCAGCCACACUGGAACUGAGACACGGUCCAGACUCCUACGGGAGGCAGCAGUGGGGAAUAUUGGACAAUGGGCGCAAGCCUGAUCCAGCCAUACCGCGUGGGUGAAGAAGGCCUUCGGGUUGUAAAGCCCUUUUGUUGGGAAAGAAAAGCAGCAGGUUAAUACCCCGCUGUUCUGACGGUACCCAAAGAAUAAGCACCGGCUAACUUCGUG